UCUGGAACUUCUCACCUGGACCCUUUGAAAGAGCUGCACUGGCUGCCAAUUUGUUUCCAGAUCUAAAUCAAGAGCGCUCAGUGCCAGGCUGAUACCCCCUGGAAAUCAGACUGGUUGGAACAGCUUGAUUAACAGGCUAUUCCAGUCAAUAAAACCAAGGGAGCAAGCGACAGGCAAGGAGGAGGGCUGGAGGAAGCUCCAUGCUUUGGAGGAUUUGCUGGCUGCCUGUACUGGACAUUCACACAGAGCAGUGGUUGGAUGAAGAUUUAUGAUAACUGGGUAAAUGAGGAGCCAGAUUUCAAAUACACUCUCCAUUCCAGGAACAGAAAGAUAAAGGCAAUUGUAUCUGCUUAGCCAGCCUUUUGCACCAGUGUGAAGACACAGAAGAAGAAGGAAAGGAGAAGCACUACCCCCAAAUGUGAUGCUCAGAAACAAGUUUAUUAUGGCAAUAUGUCUAAUGUAUAUCUCCUCUAAGUUAAUCAGCAUAACAAG